rnacentral:lncRNA from 1 species
CUCAACCCAGCCUCACACACCAUGCUGUGAUACAACAAAGUAGGGAUAUUGGCCAUUGUGGAGCCACAUAAUUGAUGCUCUGUAAGAGCAGAACUUCUGGUUUUGCUGAAUACUUUGAGGAGACUAAACCAACUGGAUUCUAUAGUAAUAGGAAAUCCAGAGAAACUUGGAUCCUUAUGAAGAUCUGGGGAACAUGAGUUCCACAAUUGUAGUUCUUGCAAUGUUUCUCAGUCCUACUUGGAGAGCCAGAAAAUGGGAUUUUAUGAUGGAAUCUCUAUUUGGAGACGGAAUGACCUGGAGUUUGAAGGUGGCAGGACUCUCAGUGCUGAUUGUCUCCAUGUUCAUACACAAGCAAUUGUUGUUAUAUAAUCAGAGGACUCACAAGGCUGUUUUUCUCUCUGUUCAAAGAUAGGAAUUGAUUCUAUUAUAAGACAUCCCACAGGGGUCCUGGAAUCCACAUGGAGAUAAAUACAACUGGAGUUUGCUGAUGGCAGGGUUUUUAAAAACUGCUUGAUUUUUGUGAAUAGCAAGGCAAGUUGGAUUUUAUGAUGGUAGGAUUCCCAGGGCCAUUGAUUCCAAUGGAAUGAAUGUUCUAUAAUGGUAAGUAUCACAAGUUUGAUAGACUGUAUGUGGACAUCCAGGGAAGCAGGGUUUAUAGGAUUACAGGACACCCAAGUUAGGUAGGUUCCACAGGGAGAGUCAGGGACUCUCAGAAAUGCUGGGAUUCAUGUGGGAAUCCUAGGAAUCUGGGUUCUAUGAUAGAAGGAUACAGAGUGUUGUUGGGCUCCCAGUGGAUAGCCAGGAGACUGGGGUUCUAUAAUGGCUGGACCCACAGUGCUGGUAAUUUCUAUGAGGAGAACCAUAACUUGGUUUCUAUUAAUGGUAGAAUUACCAGUAUAGGUGGACUCUUAUUGGAGUGACAUGGACUAUGUGUUAUAUAAUUGGAACAAUGUGCAAAGAAGCCAAGCUCAUUGUGGAGAGGUAUAUAAUUGACAUUCUCUGAUUGCAGUACUUUCUGUGCUAUAAGCUCUAAGUAGAGAGCAAGGAACUUGUUUAUAUGGCUGCAGGAUUGUCAGGAGUGCUUUUCUUUACUCAAAGCCAUGAAACAGGUACUAUGAUAACAGGAUUUGCAGAGACACUGGGCUAAGAGUCGAAAGCCAUGUAACUGGAUUUCUAUUUAUUUUUGUGCUCAUAGGGCUGCUGAGCUUUGUAUGGAGAGACAGGCAAAUGUUUUACUAAUGAAGGAAGGAUUUGCAUGAUUGUUUAGUUCAACUAACUAAUCCNNNNNNUUUUUUUUAGUGGCAGGAUAAUGCAUUUCCCCUGUGCCUACAUGGAGAGUCACAUAACAGGAAUUAUUUGAUGUCAGGACUAGCAAAAAUGUUCAAUUCUGGGGUUACAUAAUGGCAAGAGUUGCAGGACUCCAAGAUCUUGGUGAGAGCCAAGAAACUUGGGUUUUAUUGAUGACAGGAUACACAGAGCUCCUGAGCUAUAUGUUAAAGAGGCAGGGACCUAGGGAUUUAAUGAACACAGCACUUGCAUGUCUCCUGGAUUCUAUGUGGAGGGAUAGAAAAUAGACAUUCUAUUAUGGUAGGAUUCACAAAGAUGAAGAAAUAUUUGUGGAGUGCCAUGGAACUGGAUUCCUAUGCUGGCAGGACUUGUAGGAAUGCUGAGAUCUGUGUGCAGAAUAGGAAUCUGUAAUUUAUCAUCUCCCAUAGUCAGCCUAGAUAAAGGUCUUGGAGAGGGACAGGAGGGUAAAGGAAGAUAAUGUCAACCUUAAAAGAGAUAUUGGGUCUAAAAUACACCCUGUGACUUGCUACUUAAUGCUUUCUUCUGACCUAGAGUAACUGCAUCUGUUUCUCACCACUGCAGCCAUAACAACACUUUCUUAUUUACCCUUGUCCUUACCCCUAACAAUGGCCAAACACAAGCAGGCCCUACCUGAAAUGCUUCCUCUAAGAGAGUUGUCAAAAAACACCAGGUGAAAGCCAUCUUCUUAAGCAUGUAAAUAAGGGAUUGAAAGUAUGCACUUCUAAUUGGCUUAUUAAAACCAGAGUUAAAGUGCUUGAUUGCUGUUUGCUAGCAUUCUUCACCCCAACAGUCACCUGUGUUCAGCCAUCAGAUAUGCCUUUACAUACACCUAGACAAGGGCUGGGGAUGUAUCUCAGUUGGUAGAGUGCUUGCCUCACAUGCACAAGGCCCUGGGUUCAAUCCCCAGCACCACACAAAAAAAAUAUUAGACAACAGACACCCAUUAGCAUGCCUUUCUUUGGGGCCUCUCCCCUUCAGAAGCUCUGAUGUUACUCUAAUGAAUCUGUUACUUUGAUCUCACUUUUGUGUCUGUGAGUUUUAUUUCUUGAAUUCAUGAGACAAAAAUUUGAAUGCCUAGAUUUAUGUUAACACUGAGAGCUGCAAAUCUCUUCAUGGAGUGCCAAGAAAAUAGGGUUCUAUGCUGGCAGGUCCCCUAGGGUUUUAGAGCCCUUUGUGAAGAGCCAGCUAACUAGGUGUGUGUGAUGUCAAGACUCACAGUACUGGUAAGUUUUAUAUUAAAAGCAAUGAAAUGGGGUUAUAUUGAUGGCAGAAUUUACUGGUCUCCUGGGUUCUACAUGAAGUGAUAGGGAACAAGAGUUAGACUGAUGGCAUAAUGUGCAGGGUUGCCGAGGACUACAUGGAGAUUCAGGUAAAUGGAGUUCUAUAGUGGCAUGAUUUGCGUGGCUCUUAACUCUACUUGGAGAGCGAGGGAAAUUGGGUUCUAUGCUGAUAGGACACUCAAAACUUCUGGUCUCAAAUGAAAGAACACCCCAAACAUCAAAGGAGAUGUGGGCAUCCCUUCUUUCAGAUGGUGUGCAGGGCUUACCCCUUUCUGAGAUUACCCUGGCUCCAGAAGCCUCUUCCUGGCAUUUAAUUUCUCAGAUAAAAACUGCUGCAUUUCUGAGCAGCAUCAUGAGCCCAAUUUUAUGUUCCAAAUUGUAGUUUUGAACGGGCUGGGGAGGGUCUUUAAAAGCCUAGUUGAGAAUCCACUACUGAUGACAUCGAAGCUAUGGACUGUUAGAGAUGGAGCAUAGUUGACCAAGUUCUUUGGGUCGUUGUAGAAAUUGUGUGGACAGUGUGAUGGGGUCAUCUGGGUUCCUCUUUGAGAGAUAACCAAGACCUCAAAGAUGGGGGGAAUAGGAGAAUACAGACAGUGGACCCUAUGGUUCCAUGGGGUUGGGUGGGGUCCUCUGUGGAGAGAUUAUGACUAAG